rnacentral:sRNA from 2 species
UGUUGGCCGAUUGUUAGAGGGGGAAGAGAGUGAAAUGACAGCGUUUAGCAUUUGCAGACUCCUCGCCAGAUGGAUUUUAAAUACUGCUAGGAGUAUUCAACUGUCCAUAUAUUUGCACUCUAUGUUAUAUACAAUGAAUGGGGGAAUGUUAAUACAGCAAAUAAUGGUUUUAUAAGAUAAGAUUCCCAAACUGUUUUCAAACAGACAGCCAUUCUCAUCCUUCUAUCUCAUCCUUAUACCAUUCUCAUCACGAUAUAAAUUAAACCGUGCCUCCCGCUGGCAACCAGUUAUUAAAGCCUGGGUUCUGAAAUGUUCUAUCAUCGUUACUAAGAACACGUUAGAAAUUCACGAUUCAUAAAAUCCGGACAUUACUAAAUAUAUAUAAAAUAAGAAAAAAGCAGGAAAAAGGGAUGUGAUUGCCCUGCUAAGCAGGAGCACGGAGGUGCAAAGAUAGGGAAAAAAAUCUCAACAAACCUUCUGGAACUUCAACACGGCCUUCCCAAAGUUCUCACCACGGAAGAUGCCCACCAGGCCUUCCGCUGCAUUGUCAAUCCCCACCGUUUCAGCAAUGGCGGGUUUGAAUGAUCCUUCCUUAAUCCACCGCGAGACAGUCUCCUUAUGCUGCUUUUCCCACUUAUCUCCCAUUCCAUGAUCUCCAACAAUAAACCCACGCAUGGUAAUCCUCUUCGAAAUGACCAUGAAUAUAUUCUUAAUCCCGUACCUCUCCUGUGGCCUCAGAUUAUACUGCGAAAUCAUUCCGCAGGCCACAAUGCGACCAAAAUCCCUCAUCGCAUCGAUGGCUGCCUCUAAGUGCUCCCCGCCGACAUUCUCGUAGUAAAUAUCGAUCCCGUCCGGUGCGAGGCGCGCCAGUCCAUCACGCGGCUUCUCCUUCUUGUAGUUGAACCCGCCGUCGAAUCCCAACUCAUUCAGGAUAUAAUCCAACUUGGCAUCCGUACCGACGCUGCCAAUCACCUUCAGACCCAGAUGCUUCGCCAACUGGCCCACGACCUGGCCCACUGCCCCGGACGCGGCGGAGAUGAAGAUCGUCUCGCCCUUGAUCGGCUUGCCGAUUUCCAUUAAAGAUGAGUAUGCGGUCAGGCCGGGCAUUCCUAGCGGGCCUAAGAAGACGCGGGUAUCUUCGAGGCCUAAGGGAUUGUCCAGCAGCUGGAUGGCUUCCAGGGCCUCCGGUGGCAGGAAGACAUAUUCCUGUACGGGCAGGAAGCCAAUGACGUGAUCAUCCGGUUUGUACUUGCUGUUGUUGGAUGCCAGGACUUUGGCAACAGAGCGGCUGUAUAUGGGUUUUCCAAGGUCAAAAGCCGGGGAGUAUGAUUUGAUGGUGGAAUCGCGCAUGCGACCACGCAUGUAAGGGUCGAAGCUGGUGUAGAGAGAUUGAACAGUGAUUCCAUUUUCUGGAGCUGGCGUGGAGGGAUCAAUUGGGACGUUUUGAAUGGUUAAGUGCUCUCCCGGCACGGGGUAUCCGGUGGGGAUUUUGGAGAAGAAGAGGGCUUUGUUUUGGGGAGACAUUUUAGAUGCUGUGUCUUUGUAUUUGCGGGGAAUCGGGUACGGCGUUCUUAAUAUGGGUCACGUAUAUGGCAGCUCGAGGUGGAGGCGACUGUAGUGCAGAAAGGGAAUGUUGAUUUGGUUCUCAGUGCGACGAGGGGCGCAUUCAUGUGGAUUCUGGCUCAAUUGAAGGGAGGCUUUGUGCCCUUUAUAUAUGGAAUUGUGGAAGCAUAUAUGCGCAAUUACAAAUGUGGACAUUAAAAAGAUGGAAGCCCCAAGCCAUCGAAACAACGGGCCC